CCCAGACCAUCAGCUAAGGUCCCAAAGUGUAAGUUAAGUGGGAAAGGAUGUGGGAUUUCUAAGACAACUAGGAUGUUGGCUUAGAAGCAGCCACUCAUUUAAAGAGUGCGUAAUAGCUCACUAGUCGAGAGAUCCUGCGCCGAAGAUGUAACGGGGCUUAAACUUACCACCGAAGCUAUGGAUGUGUACUUUGUACACGUGGUAGAGGAGCUUUCUGUACAGGUUGAAGUCAUACCGUAAGGAGUGGUGGACAGUACAGAAGUGAGAAUGCUGGCAUAAGUAGCGAAAAACAAGUGAGAAUCUUGUUGACCGAAUAUCUAAGGUUUCCUGGGGAAGGCUCGUCCUCCCAGGGUUAGUCGGGACCUAAGCCGAGGCCGAAAGGCGUAGGUGAUGGACAACUGGUUGAUAUUCCAGUACCACCAUAAUGCGUUUGACAAAUGGGAUGACGCAGGAGGAUAGGAUGUGCGCACUAUUGGAUGUGCGUCUAAGCACUUAGGGUGUUAAGUAGGCAAAUCCGCUUAACAUUAAG
rnacentral:rRNA from 1 species